CGGGCAGCUUUUAGGGACUGGACUGACGGACGGGCACAUCCAUUUGAGAGAGGUGGUUCGGCUCCGCCCGCUCUGGACCUUUGCUCCAGGACUCCUACCGGUAUCCCUGAUCCUUCCUGGGUCUGGCCGGGUUGUCAGAACGUGGGGUGACCCCCAGAGCUGAGCCCAAGGAGCAGGAGAGAAGAUCUCUCCCACAAGUGAGCCAGGUGGCAGGGAAGACCGCGGGGUCAACAGAAGCAGGGUGUGCAGGGCCCCUGGGCGCGUGACGGUCCAGGACCUUGCUGUGGUAUCCAAGCCAGCCCCGGGCCUGUCUCUUGUUGAGGGUCAGGACAGGGCCUGCUGCCCAGCAAGAGGGAGAAUUUUGCAGCAGCUCAGUAAGUCAGCGCCGGGAGUCCUGGCCUUGGGGGCGGGGGGCGGCUCAGGGGUGACCACCCGACUCCAUCUCCACUUUCCAACAACGUGCUGGAGGGGUCCAUGUGUCACCAGUAGGAAAUGCAGGCCAACUGUUAGCAUCUGAUGGAAACUUAGGCAGACCCCUGAGGCCUGGUGGGUUUGGGAGCAAGCCUCCCCCCUCAUCUGCUCAGGACAGACAGAGCUCACUCCUGGCUGUUUUCCAGGUCGGCCUUCCUGGGAGCAGAAUUCCCGUCAGGGACGUGAGGCCUGAGGCAGGGAGGGGCGGAGCAUGGCAGCUGGUUUUGUUUUUCAUCUGCUGUCUGGUUUGGAACGAAGGGCAGAUGGCUCCAGAAAUAUCUAGGAACGCACACCUUCCCCCACUCCCGGCGGGUGACCAGCAGAGGCAUAUGAGGAGGUCAGCAGAGGUGCCUUGUAAACAGUGGCUUUGAGACAGCAGGCCUAGCCAGGACUCUGUCGCCCAGGACGGCCAAGGGUGGGUGCGGCCCAGGCGGCCCACAGCCGGGACCCAGUGUGGUCCGUCCACACACUGGAAAUGAUUCGGCCGCAGGAAGGAGUGGAGCCCUGACCGCACAGCGCUCAGUGAGAUGCCAGACACAGGCCACGCGGCCCAUGACCCCAUUUCUGGGGAGCGUCCACAACAGGCGGAUCCACAGACAGAAACGGGAGAAUAGGAGCUAGUUGCUAAUGGACACAGCUUCCAGGCCGGUGAGAAUGUCUUGGAACGAGAUACAGGGGGGGCCGCACGGCUUUGUGAAUUCACCAAAUGCCAGCUGCACACUUUGCAUGGGUUACUGAAUCUGGGAGAAUGAAGAGAAGGGAACCAGCGGGCAGUUAGUUCGCGAGAGUGUGCAGCCUGCAGAUUGGGAGCUGAGCGCUGGAGACGGUGAUUUUGACACAAUAUCAAUGACCAGAAACAACGCAUUUAAGGAAACGCCUGCUUCUCACUCACAAGAGAUGUCAAGACGACCUGUCUGUGUUUUGCAAGAGAACUUGUGCCCAGAGACGUAAGCAGGAACCCCAUAUCGUACCGUGUGCUGGAUGGAGAAGCCCCUGACACUCAAUGCCAGGAACACACCCCAGAGCUUUUAAACCUCGUGGUGUUUCUGACCCAGAGGGACCCCAGGCCGUGUCUGGGGAUAUCUGUUGUUGUCACAAGUGGAGGAGCUCCUGGUGUCAAGUGGGUGGGGGCCAUAGAGGCUGCUCGAACCCCCACCGGGCCCAGGACAUCUCCCCACAGAGAGUGACCCACCGCCAGUGUCAGCAGUGCUGGGCGGAGCCCCUGGUCUGGAGAGACAGCCAGCAGGCACGGAGGCGCUCAGUCCUGCAGCCACACGGAGCUGAGCCCUGCCGACAGCCACGAGAGCGUGUAAGUGGAUCUGUCCCCGGUUGAGUCGCCGGGUGAGACUGCUGUCCUGGCUGACCUGUCCUGGAGCCCCAGUGUGGCAGGGCCGGGACUCCUGACCCACAGAAACUAGGCUAGCAAACCUGUGUUGUCCCAGUUGCUUUAUCUGUGAAAAGCUUGCACAGCAAUAGCGACUCAUACAGCGACUUCAUCAUUAUUGACUUCCAGCUAACACAGCAGCUCUUAAGACAUGUACGUGCGAUCCCCAUCGUCCACACAGGAAGCCGGCAUUGACACCAUGUCCAUUUCUUGUUAGGUUUUCAGAGCCUGCAGCCAGGCCUCUCCCCUCAACAUCCAGGCCGUUGCCCACCCCGGAGGUGUUCAGGAGAGGGCUUUCUGCGUUCCCAGUGGCAGAGUUAUGUCACCUUGGCAGGUCGUUUCCAGUUCUGCUGCGGUGUAAGCCCUGAUCGUUAGGUUCUCCCUUUUUUUGCGGCACCACUGCCCUACUUCAGCUCUGAUUGCCAAGCCACCCCUUCCAGGAGGGCUAUCUUGAACGAGCAUGCUGCCGGCCGCAGGCCUAGAUAAAAAGCCACAGCCCCAUGGAGACGUCUUUGUUUUAAAGGUCUUGGUUGGUUUGAUAACUGACCAUUUGGGCCGCUUGUCUUUUAUUUUCCUGCGCUUUAUGUUCCCGCACUUGUUUUAAAUUCACCAAUAAAGAGCCUGAGAGUCCCUCCCUAAGCCCCCACCCUGGGCCCCCAUAAAAGCUGAAGCACAGGCUGGCGGGUGCUCCGCCCGUGACCUCACUGGGUAAUUUCAAGGUCCUUUAAGUAAUAAACCUUUACUUUCUCAGUUUCCCGAUGGUCAUUGCUGAUGGGUGUCUGGCAAUGAUAGUAAGGGCCACGAGGGCCGGUCCAGCUGCAUUGCUGCGUAUGGACGGGCUGAGACGGAUGAUGCACAACCGCAUCUGCCUAAGGGCAGUGGUGUGUGCGAUAUUUGAUAUUGUUUUAUGGUUUUCGGAAUUUGACAUUUUUUUUUUGUAUGGUCAAAUGUAUGAUCAAUUAAAAAAAGAAAAGAAAAUUUCACAAACACUUUCACGGUAGUCUGGCACAAAAGGGGCCUCUCUAGCUGAGUAAGAAAUUUUAAGAGUAGCCAGCAAAUAAACUUUAAUAAGGUAUAUAUAUAUAUAUAUAUAUAUAUUAUUUUAAUUAUACAUUAAAUCGAUAUUUUACUUUAUAAAUUAAUUGUAUUAUAUUAGUAAAAUUAUAUAUGACUUUAUAAUACAUCAAUAUUCAUUUAAGUUUGUAAUUAACACAUCGAUAAAUGUAGGUAUUAGUAUAUCAGAAUAUUAAUGUUUUUUUACUCCACAAAAAAAUAACGUUAAAUGCUUAUUAAAUCACUUUACCUGUUUCCCUUGAAUUUCUACUCAGUUAGUAUAUUUCAGUACAUAAAGUUUUCUGACUAAUGUAUUUUCCCUAGAGAUAUAUUACUCAGAAAACUUGAUCAGGAUAAGCGCACCCUAUUCUGUACAUACUAACACCGCAACUCCUGCUUUGGGGUACAGCCGACCUACUUUAAGCUGUUCUAUGACUUUUUAUAACAGGUUUAUUGGGAUGUAACUCACACUUCACAGGAUUCUCCCAUGGACAGCGUGCAGCUCAAGGGUGUCUUCAGAGCUGUGAAACCAUCUAUCCGAGUUGUAAAACCGCUGUCUGUGUCUGCUUGAAAAGAACAAAGUUACGGUUUUGAUUUUA